UACCGAGGUCUCAAGCGUUGUUCGGAUUCAUUGGGCGUAAAGGGUGCGUAGGUGGCGCCAUAAGUCAGGUGUGAAAUCUCGGGGCUUAACUCCGAAACUGCAUUUGAUACUGUGGUGCUUGAGGACUGGAGAGGAGACUGGAAUUCACGGUGUAGCAGUGAAAUGCGUAGAUAUCGUGAGGAAGACCAGUGGCGAAGGCGGGUCUCUGGACAGUUCCUGACACUGAGGCACGAAGGCCAGGGGAGCAAACGGG
rnacentral:rRNA from 1 species